rnacentral:rRNA from 1 species
UAACCUGCCCAAGAGAUCGGGAUAACACCUGGAAACAGAUGCUAAUACCGGAUAACAACAGAUGAUGCCUAUCAACUGUUUAAAAGAUGGUUAUGCUAUCACUCUUGGAUGGACCUGCGGUGCAUUAGCUAGUUGGUAGGGUAACGGCCUACCAAGGCGAUGAUGCAUAGCCGAGUUGAGAGACUGAUCGGCCACAUUGGGACUGAGACACGGCCCAAACUACUACGGGAGGCAGCAGUC